rnacentral:rRNA from 1 species
AUUGAACGCUGGCGGCAGGCCUAACACAUGCAAGUCGAACGAGUGGCGGACGGGUGAGUAAUGUCUGGGAAACUGCCUGAUGGAGGGGGAUAACUACUGGAAACGGUAGCUAAUACCGCAUACCAUCGGAUGUACCCAGCUGGGAUUAGCUAGUAGGUGGGGUAACGGCUCACCAAGGCGACGAUCCCUAGCUGGUCUGAGAGGAUGACCAGCCACACUGGAACUGAGACACGGCCCAGACUCCUACGGGAGGCAGCAGUGGGGAAUAUUGCACAAUGGGCGCAAGCCUGAUACAGCCAUGCCGCGUGUAUGAAGAAGGCCUUCGGGUUGUAAAGUACUUUCAGCGGGGAGGCGUUACCCGCAGAAGAAGCACCGGCUAACUCCGUGCCAGCAGCCGCGGUAAUAC